rnacentral:rRNA from 1 species
AGGGUGUAAACGCUGCAGACUUGGUGUUGGAGGCCCUUUGGGGGCAUUCAGUGCCGGAGAGAAGUUGUUAAGUCUGCUACUUGGGGAGUACGUCCGCAAGGAUGAAACUUAAAGGAAUUGGCGGGGGAGGCACCGCAACGGGAGGAGCGUGCGGUUUAAUUGGAUUCAACACCGUAAAACUACACCAGGGAAGACUGUUACAUGAAGGCCGAGAUGAAGACUCUGCUAGAUUUUCUAGAGAGGAGGUGCAUGGCGGUCAGUGACU